CUUGUGGCUGUCUUAUGUGACUUUUGUAUCUGGCUACCAAUUAGCACCUGAUCUACCUUAUUAUAUGUUUUAUUAUUCAGACAGUAGCAAAUUAUACAACACAAAUAUUUGCCCAGCAAAGAAGAUAUUUAGAGGAAAUACAAAUUGACAGAAUGAGCUGUAGAUACACAAUAUAGAUCCUAAUUCACUGGAAGCUUGAGGCAGACCGGAAAUAAAAAGAAUGAUCUUACUGACCGAAAGCAGACAGAC